AUCUCCCUUUUGAUUUGUUUUUUUUCCAGCAUACAAUUCAGUGGUAGUGAGAGAUGUCUGCUUUGCGUGUUUGACCCCCUCUCCCUUUCCCACUUUCUCCUGACACCUCCAUGCCUCUUGACACCCUCACCCCUAGUCCCUUCUUGUCCCCUCUCAUUCUCUCAUAUUUUGUCUUCUAGUGAUAGCCCUCUUGAUG